rnacentral:lncRNA from 1 species
GUGCACAAGCAUUGCAUGCAUCAUGUGCAUAAGUAGGUUUUGUUCCCGGUUUCUUGUCCUGUGGUCUAACUCUGUGCUCUUCAUUUAUUUUGAAGACAAGCUAACUCACCGGGACUACACUAGAGCCAACUCUGCAAGACUGAUGGAUCAUCUAGACCAAGAGAACCGUGAACUCAAGGAGGAAGUGGCUAGAUUGAGCGCUUUGAUGGAAUCAUUCCUGGCCGCCCAGAGCCAGUCUUCUCCGACACCUUCAAC